CUCUGUCUGUCUGCGUAUCUAUCCAUCAUCUGUGUAUUUGAAAGAGUGCUUCGCCUACCUCCAUUUUGACCUCAGUCUAUUCUUCUAAGUUCUUCCUUCCAGCUUAUCUUUGCUGAUUCAAAAUGAGCACAACUUUUAGAAUUGCUAAAAGAAAGAAAGAGAGUUUUCUUUGAGCCCAAGUUGGGACGGCUGUCCGGGAACCAUGCUCUUUACGGGGAAGAAAGUGCUCCGGAGAAUGAACAGAUCUUACAGAGACUUUUAGAGCGCUUUUCUCUCGUCAUUUCUUAACUCGGGCAAAGGACCCAGCGGGCAAAGCAUCCCUUGAUGGAAACCGAAAUUACCCCCUCAAGCCACAGGGAACUGCCCUGAGCCUGCAAGCCCCCACGUGAUUGACCUCAAGAUAAUGAUCCACCUGACCUUGGCUGUCCAGCUGCAUGUACCCACCGACCCUUGUCCCACAUUUCCCUUGUAUAAACCUGGAAGUGUUUUCGGUACUUUGGAGACAACCCCCGAGAUGUUAGUCAGCUGUCUUCCCAGUGUUGGCGUCCCUGAAAUAAAUUCCUUUCUGUGUCGCCACCAAA